GACGAACGCUGGCGGCGUGCUUAACACAUGCAAGUCGAACGGCAAGGCCCUGCUUUUGUGGGGUGCUCGAGCGGCGAACGGGUGAGUAACACGUGAGUCACCUGCCCUUGACUUUGGGAUAACUUCAGGAAACUGGGGAUACUAACGGAUCGGAGCUCCUGCUGCAUGGUGGGGGUUGGAACGUUUCGGCGGUUGGGGAUGGAAUCGCGGCUUAUCAGCUUGUUGGUGGGGUAGUGGCUUACCAAGGCUUUGACGGGUAGCCGGCCUUGGAGGGUGACCGGCCACAAGGGGACUGAGGGAGGGCCCAGACUGCUACAGGAGACAGCAGUGGGAAAUAUUGCACAGUGAUAGGGAGCCGGAGGCGACAGCGCCGCGGUCGGAAUGACGGCUUGCGGGGUGUGAACCGCUUUAGCCUAUGACGAUGCGUGGAUGACGGUAAUGAAAGAAGAAGCACCGGCUAACUACGUG
rnacentral:rRNA from 1 species